UCGCCCAUUUUGGCACUAGCACAUUUUUGCUUCUGUAUAUAUGCUUUGAGCAAUCAUGUGUAGUGCCAAUAUAGGACA
rfam:Salmo salar isolate Sally breed double haploid chromosome ssa07, whole genome shotgun sequence.